UUAUCCUGCCCUGUCUGGCGCCCUGCCUGUGCAAACGUUUGGUGGCGGGCCCGCCCGAAAGCGCAAGAGCGA
rnacentral:snoRNA from 1 species